CACGCUUGACGUCAACAGCGACGGGCGCGUGACGGCGCGGGAGUACCGGGGCAUCAGGCGCGUCGUGCGGCGCAUCGUCAAGCCCCGCGCCUGCGCCAAGCUCUUCCCGCUGCUCUGCGACGCUGACGCUGACGCUGCCGUGUCGCGGCGCGAGUGGCAGCAGUGCUGGCGCGCUUCAAUCCAGCCCGGACCUGUGGCUCGUAAACCUCCUGGUACCACAACCCCGCGCCCCAACCCCCGCAAGUGCACCCGCCGGGGGUGUAGGACCCCC
rnacentral:lncRNA from 1 species